AUAUUCUGGUUUCUCUUCAGAUCAUAUAAAUCUUUUGCCUUUUACUAAAGAUUUCCAUGGAGAGGAACAAUUAUGAGUUACUAACCAAUUUUUUGAGGCUUCAUUGAAGUGAGGUU
ensembl:snRNA U5 U5 spliceosomal RNA